ACUGCUCAGUAACACGUCGAUAACCUGCCUUUAGGUCUGGUAUAACCAUAGGAAACUGUGGCUAAUCCCGGAUAGAAGAUUAGUGCUGGAAUGCUUUUUCUUCUAAAGCUUCGGUGCCUAAAGAUGGGUCGGCGGCUGAUUAGGCAGUUGGUGAGGUAAUGGCUCACCAAACCUUUGAUCAGUAGGAGGGAUGAGAGUCCUAGCUCCGAGAAGGGCCCUGAGAUACUGGCCCUAGUCCUAAGGGAUGCAGCAGUCAGGAAUACUUUACAAUGCACGAAAGUGUGAUAAGGGGAUUCCAAGUGCUUUGCCUUCGGGUAAAGCUUUUGUCGAGUGUAAGUAGCUCGACGAAUAAGUGGUGGGUAAUACCGGUGCCAGCCGCCGCGGUAAUACCGGAGCCACAAGUGGUGAUCACGUUUAUUGGGUCUAAAGCGUCCGUAGCCGGCUUAGUAAGUUCCCUGUGAAAUUGUUGGGCUUAACCUAACAACGGGCAAGGAAUACUACUAAGCUUGAGACCGGGAGAGGAUGGAAGUAUUUCAGGGGGAGCGGUAAAAUGUUAUAAUCCCUGAAGGACUACCAAUAGCGAAGGCAUCCAUCUAGAACGGGUCCGACGGUGAGGGACGAAGGUUAGGAGAAUGAUAAGGAUUAGAUACCCUAGUAGCCCUAACAGUAAACUCUGUGAGCUAUGUGUUGUGUAUUCUUCAUGAAUGCGCAGCGCCGUAGAGAAGUCGUUAAGCUCACCACCUGGGAAGUACGGUCGCAAGGCUGAAACUUAAAGGAAUUGGCGGGGGAGCAC
rnacentral:rRNA from 1 species